rnacentral:lncRNA from 1 species
GCACAUACCAUGGAUCUUCAAAACCUUAUCUCUAUCUUCACCACCUUCCUCUUUCUCUUUAUGCUAUUGAAAAUAGCCAUUAAGAAAUUUAGUUCUUCCAAGGAUAUUACCAAUUUACCCCCAGGGCCAAGAAAGCUACCCAUAAUAGGAAACAUGCACAACCUUGUAGGAUCAAUGCCCCAUGAAUGCCUAAGAAACUUAGCAUCCAAGUAUGGACCCUUAAUGCACCUUAAACUAGGAGAAGUGUCCCACAUCAUAGUUACAUCACCUGAAAUGGCACAAGAGAUUUUGAAGACUCAAGAUCUCAACUUUUGUGAUAGGCCAAACGUUCUCUAUCAAAGAAUCAUGGCUUAUAAUGGCACAAGCGUUGUCUUUGCCCCCUAUGGAGACUAUUGGAGGCAUGUACGAAAGAUAUGCACCAUGGAGUUAUUAACAGCAAAGCGUGUUCAAUCUUUUAGGCACAUAAGAGAAGCAGAGGUUUCAGAGUUGGUCAAAGCAAUAUCUCAAAGUCAAGGCUCCAUUUUUAAUAUCUCUCAAAAGAUUUUAUCAAUGACCUAUGGAAUCACGGCUAGAAUAGCAUUUGGUAAAAAAAAUUUGAUACACAGUGCAAAUACUUUAAUUUUACCUAUUAUUAUUAUUAUUAUUAUAACUUUAUGGUAUUUGUUAUUUAAUAAUUGUAUGUUUUUUAUUUGACAAUAUAGGAAAAAAAUAUAGUUACCAGGAAGUUUUUAUAUCAUCUUUUGAGGAAGCAUUGCAAAUAGGAGGCGGAAAUCGUAUUGCUGAUCUGUAUCCUUCAAUUAGAGUAGUGCUUGAAAUGAUGAGUAGAGACAAGACUAAGCUUGAAGAACUGCAUAGAAAGUCUGAUAAGGUAUUGCAAGACAUCAUAGAUGAUCAUAGAAAUAGAAAAGGUGGCAAUAAAUGUGAAGAAGAAGAAGGUAGUGAAGAUCUAGUUGAUGUUCUUCUCAAGUUUCAACAAAAAGACUCUGAAUAUCCCUUAACUGAUGAUAACAUUAAAGCAGUCAUUCAGGUUAGUCUAAUCAAGACAAUUAUUAUCAGUUUAAUUAUUUUUUGUGAACCUAAACAAGCCACGUAUUCAGAAAAUUUUGUAAUGGCCUUAUCUCUGAUCAUUUGUAAAUUAAACAACCCAUCUCUUAAUAAUAAAAAAUUAACCCUUUCAUAUUUUAUUUGAUUAGACAAAUUAGUCCUUAUAUCAAUUUUUUGAUGAAAGAUUAACAAAAUUUACUGACAUAUUUCUAUUAUUUAUUUGGAUUUAAUUAGNNNNNNNNNNNNNNNNNNNNNNNNNNNNNNNNNNNNNNNNNNNNNNNNNNNNNNNNNNNNNNNNNNNNNNNNNNNNNNNNNNNNNNNNNNNNNNNNNNNNNNNNNNNNNNNNNNNNNNNNNNNNNNNNNNNNNNNNNNNNNNNNNNNNNNNNNNNNNNNNNNNNNNNNNNNNNNNNNNNNNNNNNNNNNNNNNNNNNNNNNNNNNNNNNNNNNNNNNNNNNNNNNNNNNNNNNNNNNNNNNNNNNNNNNNNNNNNNNNNNNNNNNNNNNNNNNNNNNNNNNNNNNNNNNNNNNNNNCAUCAAAAGUUUUAACUAUUUAAUUUUUUAUAAAAUUUUUUCUUUAAAUUAAUAAGAUUAUUAAUUCCUUAACAUACAUGUUUGUUAGCAAUACCUUUAAUUUUGUUAUAAUUAAUCCAUUUGCAGGACAUGUUUAUUGGUGGUGGAGAAACAUCUUCAGCAGUUGUAGAAUGGGCAAUGGCUGAAAUGAUAAAGAAACCAAAAGUGAUGGAAAGAGCACAAUCUGAAGUUAGAAGGGUUUAUGGUAGCAAAGGGUAUGUGGAUGAAUCAGAAUUGCACCAAUUGACAUACCUUAAGUCUAUCAUCAAAGAAACCUUAAGGUUACAUCCAUCUGUGCCAUUGUUAGUUCCUAGAGAGAACAAAGAACCAUGCCAAAUCAAAGGGUAUCAAAUUCCAGCCAAUUCUAGAAUUAUUAUCAAUGCUUGGGCAAUUGGAAGAGAUCCAACGUAUUGGGUUGAUGCCAUGGAAUUUAAGCCCGAGAGGUUUGUUGAUAAUUAUUCAAUUGAUAAUAGAGGCACAAACUUUGAGUUUAUUCCAUUUGGUGGUGGAAGAAGAAUGUGUCCCGGAAUUACAUUUGCUACACCAAACAUGGAGUUGCCACUUGCUCAAUUGCUUUACCAUUUUGAUUGGAAGCUUCCCAAUGGAAUCAAGAAUGAGGAACUUGAUAUGACUGAGUUGUUUGGGAUCACUAUAAGAAGAAGAAAUGAUCUCUGCUUAAUUCCCAUUAUUCAUCAUCAACCUUAAUUAAUAUAAGAAAAAGUAUAGGUGAACAAUGAAAAUAUUAAACAAUGUAAACAAUAGAUAUAUCAGAUGUUCAUUUUAUUAGUGUACGGAUGAUUAUUUUAAUAUUAAAAUUUAGAGGGUUAAUUUGGAGGUGUAGUGUGUUUUAUUUGAUUAGUGAUUGUUUAUAUUGUUCAACAAAGUUAUUGUCUCCCUAGCAUUCUCCUUAAUAUAAAUUAUUCCUAAAGUGAGAAAAUUAAAAGAAUGAUUUUAUAUAUUAUGUUUUAUUCACCACAUUUGAUCAUUUUUCUAUUUCUAUUACAAAUUCUAUAACCCAAAGAUAAAGUCUAUAAAUAAUUCAAAAAUAUAAAAUAUCUCUCAUUUCAUAAAUUACUUAAUUUUGAAGUUGAGUUAAAUUUAUUGAAAGAGAUUAGCAUGUGGUGUGUAUAAUAAUAGUUAGUUAAACUUUUUUGUAAUGUGAUUAGCUAUUUGUCAUGCAGUGAGUGUGUGUGUUAUGCAGAGGGUCUGUUAAAAGGAUUAGUCACACUAGUGGGUAUAUAAAUCGGCACACACACCAUUGUAAACUAACCAUACAUUUUCUAAUUCAGAUCAUUCUUUUUCCUCUAACGCUAUCUCUCUUCUUCGCUCUCUCUAUUGAGUUCUGGCCUGAUACCUAUAUGGUAUCAGAGCUCCAGAUCCUUGUGACCAUGACUUCCGCAUCACUAACUACUGCACAAAUUGCUCAAGCUUUCUCAAGUCCGAUUGCAAUGAAACUGGAUGAAAAAAAAUUUUUGCCAUGGAAAGAUCAAGUAGAAUCUAUGAUAUAAGGUUACGAAAUGUUGAAUCACAUCACAGGCGAGUCAAUUCCAAUGAAGCAUCUUUUAAUUGAAGAUGAAGCUUUAGGCACAGUGAAUCCAAAAUACGCAACAUGGAAGAAACAGGAUGCACAACUCAAGAUUUGGCUUCUUGCAUCAAUGCGUAAGAGAUUCAAUACACACAUGGUUGGAUGUAUGUUUUUUCACUAGAUCUGGAAAAGAUUGGAGACUUUCUUUGCAUCACAGAUCACGGUGAAGAUUAGACAACUCAAGAACAAACUAGUAAACAAGAAGAAAGAAUGUUCGAUUUGCGAUUAUUUGCUAGAGAUAAAGAAGGUAGUAGAUUCUUUAAUUUGUGUUGGAGCGACGAUAAAUGACUCUGAUCAUGUAGACGCUAUUUUAAAUGGGCUGCCAGAGGAGUAUACCUCAUUCAUCACCACUAUAACUGCUAGGUUUUCUCCAGUGUCAAUUGAAGAGUUAGAAGCUUUGUUAAUGGCGCAUGAAGAGUUGUUAGACAAAUAUAAAAGACUUGACAAUUUUGUACAAACGCGUGUCGCACACGUUUAGAACCCUAAUCACAAUUUUAGAGGAUAUUUUCGUGAAAAAAAAUUUCCAUUUCAUGAAUAAAUGAGCUAAAUGCUAUGAUUAUGAGUCUGGACCAUCAUUGAGCCUUGUUUGUUAUUCUUUCUUUUAAAUUUUGGUUGCACACUAACAAAACAAAUUAUUUACACUACUUUAAAUUCAGGCCCAAUAUUAUAACAUUUGAUCAUUAUCAAAUUAUUUUUUUUUUUGUUAGUUAUUAUUAUCAUCAAGCGGAACAUGCGUAUGUGACAGUCCAUCUCACUAUCAUUCAUAGGUGGCAAUAUGUACUCUAUUCGCGAGUACCCAACCCGAUCCUAUUCGACCGGGUAGGCUUAUCAACCCGAUUCACAGCGGAUAGAGUAAGGUGCGGGUAGGAUUUUCGUGCAGGUCGGAUAGGGUGCGGGUUGAGCCUCAAUUCUAUCCGAUCAACUCGCACUCUAUAUAUGUUUAUGUUAUAUAUUUAUAUAAAAAUAUAUUUUAAGUGGAUGUUGAAUUAAAGACCUCUCACUACAUGCAAAAGAUCCUUAACCACUAAAAGAAAAUCAUUAAUUGAUAAUUUAAUUUUUUUUUUUUUUACAUAAAAAUCAGUUCUAUUUUAAAUUAUCAUCAAGUUAUAUAAUAAUGUUGUAUAUUUUUUGUAACCCGCAAGUAGAGUUGGAUACACACAGGUUAAAAGCGGAUAGGGUUAGAGUUGGGAUAUUUUCAACCUGCAAAUAGAGUAGGGUUGAGUUUAUAUAAAAAUCUCAACCCGCGGAUAGGAUUAGAGUUAGAUCCAAACCCUACCCUACCCUACCCAUUACCACUCCUAAUCAUUCAUGCAACGACUGAAGUUUUUUUAUUGCAAGACUACAAUAAUUAUNNNNNNNNNNNNNNNNNNNNNNNNNNNNNNNNNNNNNNNNNNNNNNNNAUCAACUUUAUUUUGACACAAAAGAUAAUAAGUAGCAAUAAAAGAAGUGAUUUAUCAAGCAUUUUUUCAGAAUAUCUCUAUAAAAUUUAUAUAUUCGAAAACUCCAAAUUUUAUAUGGACCUCAGAUUAUUGUUGCUAUUUUUUUUUAUUAUUAAUUUGGUUUAUACCAUUUCAAGCAGACAAGCGCAUAUUCUUUCGAUGAGGAAAUCAGAAAUAUCAAUGAGUAGUGAUCAUCCUUAAUUUGUCCACUUUAUCUGACUUAGGCUCGCCACAUAUUAUUUUCUGUACCUUAUAUUUAAAUAAUAAUCUGUGACUACUAAUUGUUUUUCAUAAUAAUAUUAUUUAUUUGAUGAUAAAAUAGAAAUUAAAUUAAAAUCAUAUUUGCUUUUAUUUAUGUUCACAAUUUUUUUUAUUUUAUUAAAAAAAUACAAAGUUUGUCUUAAAAUUGCAAUAUUGUAUUUAUUUUAUUUUCUAAAUAAAUCUAUAUUUUUUAUUUCACCAAAAAAAAAGGAUUAUAUAUAUAGUUGAGUUAUGUAUAUCUUUCUCUCCUAUUAGUUCCUUCUUCCUCAACUAUACAUUACUCUAGCACAUACCAUGGAUCUUCAAAACCUUAUCUCUAUCUUCACCACCUUCCUCUUUCUCUUUAUGCUAUUGAAAAUAGCCAUUAAGAAAUUUAGUUCUUCGAAGGAUAUUACCAAUUUACCCCCAGGACCAAAAAAACUACCCAUAAUAGGAAACAUGCACAACCUUGUAGGAUCAAUGCCCCAUGAAUGCCUAAGAAACUUAGCAUCCAAAUAUGGACCCUUAAUGCACCUUAAACUAGGAGAAGUGUCCCACAUAAUAGUUACAUCACCUGAAAUGGCACAAGAGAUUAUGAAGACUCAAGAUCUCAACUUUUGUGAUAGGCCAAACGUUCUCUUUGCAAGAGUCAUGAAUUACAAUCGAAAAGCCAUUGCUUUUGGCCCCUAUGGAGAGUAUUUGAGGCAUGUACGAAAGAUAUGCACCAUGGAGUUAUUUACAGUAAAGUGUGUUCAAUCUUUUAGGCGCAUAAGAGAAGCAGAGGUUUCAGAGUUGGUCAAAACAAUAUCUCAAAGUGAAGGCUCCAUUUUUAAUCUCUCUCAAAAGAUUUUAUCAAUGACCAUUUUAGACUCUUUUAAUAUAAUAAUUAAUUUUUACUAUGAUAAUUCUAUCAGGAUUUUACAUCUCAUUACAUAUAACUUUAUCAUAUUUAUUAUUUAAUAAUUGUAUGUUUUUUAUUUGACAAUAUAGGUAAAAAAUAUAGUUACCAGGAAGUUUUUAUAUCAUCUUUUGAAGAAGCAUUGCAAAUAGCAGGAAAAAAUUGUAUUGCUGAUCUGUAUCCUUCAAUUAGAGUAGUGCUUGAAAUGAUGAGUAGAGACAAGUCUAAGCUUGAAGAACUGUAUAUAAAGACUGAUAAGAUAUUACAAGACAUCAUAGAUGAUCAUAGAAAUAAAAAAGGUGGCAAAUGUAAAGAAGAAGAAGGCAGGGAAGAUUUAGUUGAUGUUCUUCUCAAAUUUCAACAAAAAGAUUCUGAAUAUCCCUUAACUGAUGAUAACAUUAAAGCAGUCAUUCAGGUUAGUCUAAUCAAGACAAUUAUUAUCAAUUUAAUUGUUUUUUGUGAACCUAAACAAGCCACGUGUUCAGAAAAUUUUGCCGGUAUUUAUUUUCUUAAAUUUUUACAAUAUAAGAGUGAUCAUAAAACUUUAGACUUAAUUGUGAAAAGUUGUGGUUCGUAUUUAGUUUUAUUUUAACGUGGAUACAAUAAUAUUGUUGAAAUUUUUUGUAGCUUCGUUGACGAGAUACAAGAGAAAUAUCAAAGAGUUGAUUUUUUAAUAAAAAUUCAUUAUUAAAUAUUUAUGUUUUUUUCAACAUUACAUAUAUACAAUUUUUUUAUAAAAGAUCAACAGAAAUUACUAACAUAUCAUUUAUUUGGGAUUAAUUAGCUCUUUUCUGAUAAAACUUUAUAUAUAUUACAAUUUAAAUGCAUCAAAAGUUUUGACUAUUUAAUUUUUUAUAAUUUUUUCUUUAUACUAAUAAGAUUAUUAAUUCCUUAACAUGUUUGUUAGCAAAACCUUUAUUAUAAUUAAUUCAUUUGCAGGAUAUAUUUGCUGGUGGUGGAGAAACAUCCUCAGCAGUUGUGGAAUGGGCAAUGGCUGAAAUGAUAAAGAAACCAAAAGUGAUGGAAGCUGCACAAGCUGAAGUUAGAAGAGUUUAUGGUAGCAAAGGGUAUGUGGAUGAAUCAGAAUUGCACCAAUUGACAUACCUUAAGUCUAUCAUCAAAGAAACCUUAAGGUUACAUCCAUCUCUACCAUUGUUAGUUCCUAGAGAGAACAAAGAACCAUGCCAAAUCAAAGGGUAUCAAAUUCCAGCCAUUUCUAGAAUUAUUAUCAAUGCUUGGGCAAUUGGAAGAGAUCCAAGGUAUUGGGUUGAUGCCAUGGAAUUUAAGCCAGAGAGGUUUGUUGAUAAUUAUUCAAUUGAUAAUAGAGGCACAAACUUUGAAUUUAUUUCAUUUGGUGGUGGAAGAAGAAUGUGUCCCGGGAUUGCAUUUGCUACACCAAACAUGGAGUUGCCACUUGCUCAAUUGCUUUAUCAUUUUGAUUGGAAGCUUCCCAAUGGAAUCAAGAAUGAAGAACUUGAUAUGAGUGAGUUGUUUGGGAUCACUAUAAGAAGAAGAAAUGAUCUCUGCUUGAUUCCCAUUAUUCAUCAUCAACCUUAAUUAAUAUAAAUUAUCCCUAGAGUGAAAAAAUUAAAAGAGUGAUUUUAUAUAAGAAAAGUAUAAGUAGACAAUGAAAAUACUAAAUAAUGUAAACAAUAGAUAUAUCAAAUGUUUAAUUCACUAGGUAUGCAGAUGGUUAUCCUAAUAUUAAGAUUUAGGUGGGUAAUUUGGGGUAUAGUGUAUUUUUACUUUAUUGGGCCAAUUUUAGAACUCAUUGUUCACAAAAGUCAUUGUCUAUCUAACAAAGUCUUUUCAUAUAUUGGAAAUCAUUGAUGAGACCUUUUGUGAUACAAAUGACCAAUCCCCACAAGGGGAAGAUAUGCAACUUGCGUAAGGCCUCGGGGCCUGGUAUUUCCUCUUCUUCCCCUUCUAUAUGACAAUAAUUGUUUUUGCUUGGAAUACUAGAGGGAUAGCGAAUAAGGCUACCAUUUGAACCCUGAAAGAGUACAAAAAAGAUUACAAGUCAGAUAUAACUCUUCUCUUUGAAACCCGCUGUAGUGGAAAUAAGGCGCAAGGAGUGAUCAGGGAGUUGGGCUUUAUGAAUUCUUUUGUUGAAGAAGCUAUUGGUUUUAUGGGUGAAAUUUCGGUGCUAUGGGACGACCCUAAAUUAAAUAUUAACAUUAUAGAACGGCAAGAGCAGCUGGUGCAUUUCAGUUUUGAUAGGAUGGGAAUUGGAAAAUAUUUUCUCAUUGCAAUAUAUGCAAGCCCCCAAAGCGAAAGAGGAAGCAAAUGUGGAAUAGCAUUCAGAACAUUGCACAUAAUUUAGCGGAGCCCUGGAUUCUUAUGGGGGACUUCAAUGAUAUUUUUGAUCAAACAGAGAAGAGAGGAGGUGGUUUAUGUAAUAUCCACAAUUGCAGAAGAUUCCAGAAGUGGAUUGAUGACUGCAGACUUCUAGACUUGGGUUAUGUAGGACAACGAUUCACUUGGAAGGGUGGUGUGAGAGGGGAUCUUGACAGAGUUUUUAAAAGGCUUGAUCGAGCACUAGGUAAUGUUGAAUGAAGAACUCUAUUCCCAGAUGCGAGAAUUGAAGUCUUACCGUGCGUGCAUUCUGAUCAUCAUCCCCUGAUUGUGCGUUUUAUACCUGAUCGUCUGGAUAGAGGAAACAAACCCUUUCGUUUUGAAGCAAUGUGGGAGACUCGCCCAUAUUUUGACAGAUUUGUGAUUAAUGAAUGGAAAAAAGACAAACCUUUCCCUGAAGCUCUGAAAGACUUGACAACUUGCUUAAAAAGGUUGAAUAAGAAGAUCUUCGGAAACAUAUUCAAAAGGAAAAAAGAUAUUCUGAAUAGGCUAUCCGGCAUACAAAGAGCACAUAAUUAUGGCAAAAACCCUUCCUUGACCAACUUGAAGAAGAGUUGUCUGCACAAUUAGAAGUUAUUCUUGAACAAGAGGAGAUAAUGUGGUUACAAAAAUCUAGACAACAGUGGACAACAGAAGGAGAUAUGAAUACACGGUUCUUCCAUACAAAAACUCUUAUUAGAAGAGGUAAAAAUAGGAUCCUUAAACUUAAAAAUGCUGAUGGAAGAUGGUUUGAUAAUGUGGAAGAGUUGAAAAGCUUAGCUGUGGACUAUUAUAAAGAUCUCUUUCGUCAAGAUGAAUAUGGAAGCACUAUCUUGCCAACUACUUAUACCUUUCCCUAGAUGGAGAACCGACCCAGAGAUGUGAUGCAAGCUGUCCCUACUCAUGAGGAAAUUCGUAGGGCUGUUUUCAGUAUGGGAUCCUUAAAAGCUCUCGGAGAAGAUGGAUUUCCAGAUUUGUUUUAUAAGAAACACUGGAACACCAUCCAGGACUCAGUCUACACUUGUAUAACACAUCUUUGGGAAGAACCAGCAAGCAUACAAGAGGUAAAUCAGACCUUAAUCACUUUGAUUCCAAAAGUCAAUCAACCAGAAUACAUUACACAAUUCAGGCCAAUUGCCCUUUGCAAUGUGGUAUAUAAAUGCCUCUCAAAGAUCCUUGUAGAGAGGAUUAAGCCCACCUUGGCAAGCCGAAUAGCACCAAAUCAAUCUAGCUUCAUUCAAGGACGGAUGAUUCAUGACAACAUCAUCAUUGCUAAGGAAAUGGUUCAUGAGAUGAGAAAAAUGAACGAAAAAGAAUGCUAUAUGGUGGUAAAGAUUGACUUUGAGAAAGCAUAUGAUAGAAAAUGUCUUGGGGAAUUUGGAAUUCCGCAGCACAUGUUGGAUGUCAUCAUGGCAGAAGUAACCUCAGUCUCUUACAAGUUAAUGUAGAACGAGUGCAAAACAGAUGGCUUCCAACCCACGAGAGGGAUUAGACAAGGAGAUCCGAUAUCUCCUUACCUCUUUGUCAUUGCUAUGGAUAAAUUAUCACAGCUCAUUGAGGAAAAGGUGAAUCGGAAAAUAUGGAAACCCAUUAAAGCGGGAAGGAACGGACCUCUCAUCUCCCACCUCCUUUUUGCAGAUGACCUUCUCCUUUUUGCUAAGGCAGACACUAGCCAAAUGGGGGUUAUCCUUGACUCUCUGCGAGAUUUUCGUCUAGCUUCCGAAUUAAAAGUUAAUGCAUCGAAAACAUCUAUUUUUUUUUCUCAAAGAAUGUGAAUGUUGCCACUAGAAGUGCUAUCACCAACCUAAGUGGUUUUGAUGAAGCUACUGAAUUGGAAAAAUAUCUCGGGGCUAUGCUCACUAAUAGUCGCAAGAAGAAGGACAAGUACAAGAACACUCUUGAAAGAGUCAAAAGCAAACUUAAAGGUUGGAAAGCUCAUUGCCUAUCUAUAGCAGGACGUGUGACUCUAGAACAAACUGUCAUUAGCCCUUCCAUUAAUCAUGAUAUGAUGCAUUCCGUGAUUCCCACUGGCAUAUGCAAUGAAAUUGAAAAAUUGCAACGUAAAUUUAUUUGGGGGGAGGUAGGAGAGCAAUGAAAAAUGCACCAUAUUAGCUGAAAACUGCUGUGUAAACCAAGAAGUAUGGGAGGCAUGGGCUUUAAAUCACUCCAUGCUAUGAAUAAAGCCUUCUUAAUAAAGAUUCUCUGGAGACUUAACCAAGACCAAGAUUUCCUUUAGGCCCGAAUCCUCAUCAAUAAAUAUGGAAGGAAAUGUGAUUUAACUCAGCAAAUUAUAUGUAAUAAUGCAGAUUCUUCAUUAUGGAAAGACCUUGCUAAAAUCCAUUCCUUUUUUGUGUAGUUCCUGACCGUGUCUUUAGGGGAUGGGAGAUUAACCCACUUGUGGAAGGAUACGUGGCUAGAGAAGGAUGAACCUCUUCUCCAUUAUGUCAUCAGACCGGUUGAAGAAAUAUUGCAAGACAUAAAAGUUUAUGAAGCAAAGUUAAAUGAAGACUCCUGGAACAUUCCAUUUUUUAGACAAUACCUUGAUGAGGACACCAUUAGAAAAAUUCAAGCUAUCCUCCCCCCAACAGACAACCUCGGACAAGAUAGGAAGAAAUGGAAGUUCACUCAAGAUGGAAAUUUUUCAGUGGCUAGUGCCUACAAGGCUCUGAAAAACAAUGCAGGGGUUAAAGAUUGGAUUUGGAACAGUGUGUGAAAAUGGCAAAGCCCCGAAAAGAUUAAAUGCUUCACUUGGAUGGCUACCCACCAAAAGUUACUCACAGCACAAAGGAGAGCGUGUUUCCUUGGUUCGGACUCUAGCUGCCAUCGAUGUAAAGGAGUGCCUGAAACUAUACAACAUGUUUUACGAGAUUGCCCAACGGCAUCCAGGUUAUGGGUAAGAAUCAUACAUCACACUCAUAUCAACUUUUUCUUUAGAGCUCCCUUUGAUACUUGGCUUCGUUGGAACCUCACAACGAAUGUCGGAAUUGCCACCAACCAAGAAACUUGAAAAACUCAAUUCCUUGUUUCAUGUUGGUGGCUUUGGAAAUGGAAGAAUAAAGAACUCUUCUCACCACCAUACCAAAGACCCCACAAUGAAUAUGUUAUAGUUCUAAACCAUGCUCAUACUAUUAAGACAGCUUUUGAAAAAUCUGGCCUAACCCCUCAAGGAAGAAGGCACAGAGAGGUCCAUGUAGCGUGGAGUUACCCACCUGAAAAUUGGACAAAACUUAACACGGACAGUGCAGCAUCAACAAAUCCGAAUGCAGGAGGAUGCGGAGGUGUUAUUAGGAAUGAGCAAGGAAGAUGGGUGGCUGGUUUUAUGGCCAAUCUAGUAUGUUGUUCGGCGUUUUGGGCAGAAAUGUGGGGUAUCUAUCAUGGAUUAAAAAUUGCUUGGGAUCUAGGCUUAAGAAGGAUUAUAAUGGAGUCAGAUUCAACAGCAGUAGUCACUAUACUUAACAAGAAAGAGGGGUUGCACUCCCACCUUGAACCUCUUGUGAGAAGCAUUGCAAACUUGAUGCAAAAGAAUUGGGAACUAAGAAUAGAAAAUAUAUACAGAGAGGACAACAAAUGUACGAAUUGGCUGGCCAAAGAAAAUUUAAAAUCACUAUCAGGAUGUCAGUUUAUUGAUAGUCUUCCUUGUAAUCUUAGGUUAAUCCUAAAUGAUGACUGUAGAGGAACAACCUUACCCCAAUUUAUUUCUAUUUUGUAGUUUUCUUUUGGGUUUAGGCCCGGCUUUUUACCAAAAAAAAAAGUCUUUUCAUAUAUUAUGUUUUAUUCAUCAUAUUUGAUCAUUUUUCUAUUACAAAUUCUAUAACCAUAAAGAUAAAGUCUAUAAAUAAUUCAAAAAUAUAAAAUAUCUCUCAUUUCAUAAAUUAGUUAAUUUUGAAUGAAGUUGAGUUAAGCCUAUUAAAUUUCAAUUUUAAUAACUUAUAAGCCCAUUGUUAUUACACUAUUUUAAAGUGGAGUAUAUAGUCAACAAACACUACAACAAAAAUUGCAAGCGACGGCGAUUUUUCGGUCAAGUCAUGACAGUUUAAUUUAAACUACUAUUAAAUAUCACCCACGACGGUUUAAAAAAUGAUAAUAGAUAAAUUGUCGGCAUAGAAGUGGCAGCAAUUUUAUAUAUAACCGUUAGAAUAACUAUUAUAUUAGGCACACGGCAAACGACCGCGGUUUGAAAUUGUCAUUAUACAUGGUUUAAAAUUGCAAAUUAAAGUUCUUUGUCAUGGUUUGUAAAAGCUGCCAAAAAAUGGUUCAAAAAAUGGGUAUAAAAAUAUUAAGGUAAACAUAUAUUUACAUAUAGGUACUCAUAUGAAAUUAAUAAUUAAAAGUUAUUAAAUAAUAAUUUAAUUAAAUUGAUCAAAUUAUCUAUCGAAUGUCAAAUAUAAAUUUCACAUUUGCAUGUAAUAAAUUUUCACCAAAUAUUAUAUAUAUGGGUUAUGGAGAAGCAGAAAAAUCAAAGAAGAAUGCAUCACCUAUACAUUACUAUACCAAAGUCAGCUGGGACGGAUAGUACCUAAAUCCGGUCCCGCCUCGCCCCGUCCAAGAACUCGCCCCGCUAAAAAUUCGCCCCGGUGCGGGAGCGAGUAGGGGUGGGAUGGGUAUCCGCGGGUUCGGGUAGUGUUGCCAUCCCAAAUAGGUUCAGAUCCGAACAGCACUUGAGAGAAACAGGGCUUAAUUGCAUAGGAAUAUAUCUCCAAGAUUAAAUAAAGAGGAAGUAUAGGGAGCCAAUGGAGUAUCUGUAUAAUGUGUACAAUGGGGUUUAGGGAUGUUCGAUUCAGUAGGAUAUCCGAUGUUUAUUAUUCCUGGUACCCGGAUAGUUAUUCUGGCCUGGAUAGUAUGGGUCAAUUGUGUUUGAGAAAUUAGUAGUAUUUUAUCCUGAAUGUUCAUUUUUUAACUUAUAUUAGGCCAAAUAAAUAGCCCAUUGUACACAUUGUACAAAUACUCCAUUGGCUUUCCAGCGAAAUUCUUAAACAAAUUGCAGAUAUUUUUACUUUUCUUAGUAUCUCUACCACCUCUCAAUUAGAAGACAUCGAUGCAAUUCUUGAGAGAUUGAAUAUGGAUUAACAGAUGCUUAUCCCUACAAUCAUGUAUGAUCAAACAAAUCUCCAUUCUUGCUUGAAUAGAUAUUUUUUAUAUAGCUUCAUUCAUACCUCUACAAAUAUCAUAAAGAUACAUUAAGAGUGCUAUAUGAAAAGACAGUUUACUUAAUAUUAUUAAAAUAAUAAAAUUAUAACUUUUUGAAUAUUACAAAUUAAUCAUCACUACAAGAAAAAUACUCAUUUAGCUACACUUUUUUAAGCUACAUUUGAAAAGCGUAGACUAUUCAUAGAAUAGACUAUGUUUUUCUCAGUGUUGCCUUUUUUUUAGAGAAAAGGAAAUACAAUUCUGGCAUCAUUUAAAAAGUGUAGCCUUAGGUAUUAUAGAAAUCACUUAUAAAGCGUAGCCGUAUGUUGAUAUCUAUGGGUCCACUUUUUGUAUCAAAGAGAGCGCUUUUUGAGGGUAGCCUAUUUGUUAAGUUUUGGGUGCGCUUCAAAAGUGAUGCCUAAUGAGCGCUUUUCCCUCUUUUUCCCGAUCGAAAGCAAACUCACAACACUUAGUGAAAUUUUUGUUCCCUCCAAAGCUUAUUAUCCCCUUUCUGAAACUCACAACACUUAGUGAAUCACAGCGCCUUUAUCCCCUUUUUGGAACCCUCUCACCAUCGUGAAGAACCACACGCAGCACUCACUAUCGCCACAUUGCCGCACACUCACCACUCACCACUCACUAUCGCCACUGACCGUUGCUCCUCUUUGCCCUCCUACACCGAGCUGCGCCGCCCUUAGCAUCGUCAUCUCUGCGCUUCUCAUCGUCCUUCUCCUUUCAGUUUGAUCGUCAUCGCUAUAACCGUCACCACCCAGUAACCACUCACCGCCAGUCACCGUCGCUGUUGAUCGUCGCUGUUGCUGCACUAACCAUCGCUCUUCUUCGCCGUUCUUCUCAUCAUCGUCUUUUCUGUGCUCACAUUGUUGAAUAUGUAUGUAUUGAUUUUUAUUUGGUUUUGAAAUUUCAGAGGUUUAGGGUUCCGAUUUUAGGGAUUUUAAUUUGGGAGUUUUAAUCUGUGAAAUAUGGGUUUUUGAAUUGUAAUUUGAUAACAUGCAUGCUGUUGUUGAUGAAGAUGCGUGGUUUAACAGAUUAGUGAGUAUUGUUAGAUUAGUGAUUUUUUAUGUUUAUCCUACCUUCUGAUAAAUAAUAGAAUAGUUUCCUUACAGUAAAAUGUGAAAAAUGAAGAACAUGCUUCUCUUUUUGUGUUCUGCAUUUUUUUGUGUUAAACCAAAAUAUUUUACCUGCAGUUUAUUCAAGUUCUCACGCAACUUGCUUUCUGACAAUUUAGUAGCACUUGUUUCUGCAUUAUCAGAUUUUUCUUGAAUCAUUUUUUUGUUUCUAAUUUGGUUUCUUACUCUUAGUAGAUCCAAAUAUAGUUUUUAAAUUUGACUUUAUGAUAAUAGAGAAUAGAAUGCAAAUUGCAAAAAAAGAAAUAAAAAGCUAACAAUAAAUAAAUAAGUAAAAUAAAAACUUUGCACGUAAUAUAUAAAUUGUGACAUUAACUCCACCUUAAACAAUUUUGAUACUCACACUUAUUCACUUACUUAACAUGUCAGGUGCUAAUCAGUACCAUUUACUUAACUUGUUGUAAUUGGAUCCCUUUUGAAAUUUUAGUAAUAUAUAGUGAUACCAUGCUUGAUUUGUGUUUUUCCAUGAAGGCUGUGAUUCAGCCACUGGACUUGUGCAGUAUCCAUUGAUUGAAUGCAUAAUUGUGUCUUUUAAAUUUCAGUUGUAGCUUACUUAAUGCUACUGGCAGUGAACUUAUCCAAUUGCAUUACAGUUUGCUUCAUAUGUUUCCUUUUUGGGAAUUACUUGUAUCGAAGUUAUGUUUUAAGGUAUUUGGUUAUUUUGUGCAAGAACCAAGUGCGAGGAUGUUAGAAUGAUGUAGAGUUUUGUUGCAGUGUUUGAAGCAAGAGCAAUAUGAUAUUCUUUGAAUAAAUAGAAAUGUAAUGAUAAAAUUUUAUGGUUGUAGAUCGUGGGAAGGUCAGGUCAGAAUUUGGAUUGGAUACUAAUUAAAUAAAAUUUGAUUUCCAACUUCAGUCUUAAACAGCAAUCCUGAAGUGUGUGCUAUCUUAGCGCUGAUCAGAAAGCAAUGUCCUUCCAUCUUGAUUUAUAGCUCUGUGCCUUUCUUCUACUCAUAAGCACUAACAUAAUUUUUUUUUGUAUUCUUUUAGGAACAAGUAAAGCUGCAAAAUUGUUGAGAGCCAAUGAAAUUUCUCUUUUCAAAGUACCGGAAGAAACAGUAGAGCUACUUAGGAAAUAUGACCUGUAUUUCUUUAGCCCCGAGCAUCCUCCUUUGACCAAACCAGCUCAAAAAGCCCUCGAUUGGGCCGUGGAUGAGAAUUUGAAGUCAGGUAUUAUAGUUUCUACCUAUCAGUUCCAUGCCAAAAUUUGUUCAAUAAAUGAGUUAGACUCAUUGUUAGUUCGGAUUUUCCAUUUCGUGUUGUACUAUACUUUGCAAGUUACUAUUACAUGAAAUUAAAAUGAACUGGAAAGAAACUUUGAGUUGUCUUGUGCCCCAUCUGAAAAUGAUUUUAAUCUGUGUAUGACUGUGGUAAUAUUACAUGUCAGAAACAUAUAGGAUAUACCUGAUUUAUUUUUCUCAUCUAAUCAAUUUUCAGGGUUUAUGAUCUUUAUGUACUUCUUUGAAACUUACUUGGAUAUACGACAACUUAAGGUACUCUUGGAUGUACUUCUUUAUGAUCUUUAUGUACUUCUUUUAAAACUCUGGAAUUUUCAUGAGAGAACCAAAUCUUGAAGGAUUUAUUAUAGAGAGAUACUGCCCACGAAAAACUAUUGUUAGAAUCUUUGUUAGAAAUCAAGGGAUUGCUGAGUGAAAUUACUUGUUGUAUUUUCUUUAGUUUCUGCUUUGUGCUGUGCUACAUUAAAAAGUGAAAGAAAUUAAUGCUAUUUUAGACCUCAACGUUGCCUCCAUUGACCAAAAUCUUUGUAUGAGUGCACAUUUUACUGCUUAGUGUUGCUGAUUGAUUUCACUCUUAAUCCAUACAAAAAGGAAUAAGACUGAUUCUGGAUUUCUUUAUGCUUGUCACUGUUAUUAAUUUAUUUAUUAUGUCUAAUUUGAUUUAUUUAUUUCAAGUUCAUAAAUCUGGGUGAGUUUAUGAUUUUGCAUAAAUAGCCUUUGUUUCAAACCUCAUUCAAACCAACAUAUAUUGUUCUAAAAUCUGGGUAAGGGAAUUUAGCAGCCUUGAUUUCAAAGUUAACAACAAAUAAAUAAGUAUAAUAAUUAAUCUGCAUUUGUUUAUUUUAGAUACUGCACUUAUUUAAUUGAUCUGCCCUGUUUCUAUCCAAGGAACAAGCUUUUGCCUUCUUCGAUUUUGCCUGCUGCUCUUUUGCCAUGUGCUAUCCGGUUCUACCCUAAUUUCCACCUUCUUCUAGGUUGUCUUUUUUUUUCCUGCCCUGCUGCUCUUCACGCUUCUAGUAAUAAUUUUAAUUUUUAACUAACUAUUCACCUGCAAAAUGCUUUUACUUAAAUCUAAUAAUAAAAUUUGUUGAUUAAAUAUUUAUAUUUUUAUUUUAAAAAACUCCCUCCUAAAAUUUUAUAUAGCAACUGCAGGAUUGCAAAAAUAUUACUAUAAUUUGCGUUUGAGUUUAUUAUGAAUGGUUGCAAAAAUAUUAUUAGAAAGUUGACUUUGUUUUUUGUUUGCAUUGACCAAAAUUGAAGGCGGAAGUUUUUGGUUAAGGUCUUCCAAGCAGAUUUUGUCAAAACAUUGAUCGUGUCAUGGCAAGGUACAAUGCAUACUUUAAUUCUUUGAUAGUAAUCAGUGGCUAAGAGAAGGGGGAGGGGUUGAAUCUUAGCCCCUUUUUGCAAUGUAUAGCUUUCUGCCUUUUAAGAUAGCUUCAAGAGAUAUUUCUGUUUUUGUCUCGUAACUAGUCAAGAGACAUUUUCUUUUUGUCUCGUAACCAGUUAAGAAAUAUUUUUCAAUUUUGUCUCCUAUGCAACAGAAUCAGAAAUGGAGUAGAAGAGAAAGAGAGAAUCACACCCAGAAGUAUCCUGGUUCAGCUGCUAAGGGCAAUGCAGCCUACGUCCAGUCUCCAUCACAACAGUGACGGAAUUUCACUAUAAUCAACAGAUUACUACACCAAUUCUUCCCUAGGAACUACCCAUUCCUAUCCGGGACAAGUCCAGAAUCUAUCCCCAAAACUGAACUUGACUUGGUCACCUACCAAGCUUUCAACCGAAAAGUGCUAACCCAACUUGCAAGGGAAUUCACACAGGAUCAUGAAACACAACACAGAUGUACAAAGGAACUCUUAAACAUCUAUAGAUUUUUCUUUAAUUUUUCUCUCUUUGCCUUUUUCUCUCACUGGCUUUUUCUUACAAACCUCACUCUGUUUGCCUUUUUCACCAUGAGACUCAGACAGACAAAACUAAAGAAAAGAAUACAAAAUAAAACUCAUUGAAGGAGAAGAACUCUGUUAGCUUAGGGUAGCUAUGAGAACUCUGUGCUUUCUCUCCUUGCCUCAACCCUUGGCCGUUCACCCUUAUUAUAGAAGGGGAAGCUUCCAAGGUUGAAACCGGUUUAACCAAGCCACCAACAUCUUCUCCAACACAUAGCCGAUUCAGACAGAGAGAAGAGAGAGGAAAAACCAAAAGCAAAUCAACAUGCAUGUACCUCUCUCUCAUCCUUUCUCAUCAAGCUUCAUCAAUCUGAGCCUUUCAUCUUGACUUUGUCCCCAAGAAUGAAUUCAGACCCUUGAUGAAUCUUUGAUCCUUGACAGCUCCUUCCUUUCCAUAUUUGCUUCUUUCUCCACGUAGCUCCAGUAGCUACCUUAUGUCUUGGAUGAACAAAAAUAGAAACGAGCUUUACCACUGAGAUCUUUUUCUCUAACCGACGCCGAUUGCUUCUAUUCUUGGUGUGGAAAUCUUGAAGCUUCUUCUUUACAUCUUGCCUUUAGUGGCAAAAAUCUUAGCCACGCCAAGUUUCGGAUCUUCCUUUUGCUAAAGCCAUUAUCCUAGCCUUUUUUCUUCUUCUUAGCUUCUCUGUAAUUUUUCUGAUAACUUCUUCUUUCUUCCUUCCUGUAUGACAUGACCGUAUGCAAAGAGAGAAAGGAGAGAGAAGAGAGAAAAAGCUUUGGAUGCAAUGAAUGAAAUUAAAACAAAUUAAAUCCCACUUCCAUUUUUCUAUGCAUAUAGUAAUGUGUGUAGCAUUGAUUGCCAUCAAAUCAAUUUAAAUUUUCUUUCAGUUACCAAGGCAAGAAAUUAAACCAAUUUAAUUUUGAAUUCCAUUCCACAAGGGGAGUAGGUAACCAAAUGAAGCAUGCUCCAAUUCCUUUAUUUCUUCUUCAAUUUCAUACCAACAAAUUUGUUGGAUCAAAAGAAAUUUGUUUUGGGCUUCAUAUUAGUUUUCUGGCCCAAUAAGCAUUUGCUUAUGCAAAAAAUAAUUCAGCCACUUUGCUUGAAAUUAUUUUUGCACCAAGGUUAAAUAUUUUCUCAUCAAAUUAGGCUUAUGUGACUUUUGGCCCACAAAAAUAUGCACACUCAACAAAAUUAUUAAACAACCAAUUGAAAUAAAAAAACAAAUUAAUAACUUUAUAAUUAAUAAUUUUUAAUAAUGUUUGAUCAUCAUCAUAUUUCAUGUUUUUCUAAACUCAACAAUUUCAAGUUUUCUGAGUUUUGUUAGUUUUGAAAUUGCAAUUUAACUUAUUAUAUUUGUACUAUAAAUUCUAUGUUUUUCUUUAUUUGUUUUACCUCAAUGGGUUUCUAUAGAAUUACUUCUAAGACUAGGAACUAUUUCCCAACCUAAUUACAAGGCUUUGAAAGUCCUUUUUAUUGCCCAUUUCCUUUAUAGCGAAUAACACCCUUCCUCCUCUAUUCUUGUUAUCUUCACUUUGCGAUUCCUUGUAAAUUUUUCUCCUAAAAAAUUUAAUAAUUAUCAAUUAGAUUUUGUGAUAUGCCAAAGGAUUGGAUGGAUCUACCGAGGUAUAGCGAAGAGUAUAUCAAUGGUGUUAUUAGUUUUUUAUACUUUGCAUACUCCGAGGGAGAACCGGACGGACGAUAAAUUCAAUGUCCUUGUAAGAGGUGUUGUAAGGCUACACUUAUAUACAGUAGCUAUAGUAUACAAAAAAAAAAAAGGAGACCUAAGGCUACACUUAUAUACAGUAGCUAUAGUAUACAAAAAAAAUGAGGGACCUAAGGCUACACUUAUAAAAUAUAGCCAUGGUAUACAAUGUGGCUACGCUUUAUAGGUGAUGCAGUAGCGUUGAAAAGCGUAGCCUAUUCUGGUAAAAAUGGAAGCUAAAAAGCAUAGCAUUUGGUCUUGAACAGCAUCACUUGAAAAACGUACCCUAUUCCCAAACACCAAAAGCGUAGCCUUUGAGAAUAGGUAACGGCCGAAUAGGCAUCCCCCAAAAAGCGUAGCCGUAGCUUAAGGCAUUAUUUUUUUACUACACUUUUCAAGUGUACCUGAAUAGGUGUUUUUCUUGUAGUGCAUUUGAUUCAUGGGUGAUGCUAGGAAGCCAAAAAAUAAUUACAAUAUAAAAAUGUCACAUAAAAAUUCUCAUUCUCUUGAUAAGCAAGUGACAUGCACUUCCUUAUCACUUAUCCUCCUUAUCACCUACUAUUUUGCUGCAUGUUUGGAGUCAUUAAUGUUCUUUCCAAAAUCAAUUUCAGUUUCUCCCAAAUCAAAUCCCUAACAUCUCUCAAUCACAUUAUUAUCCAUUAAAAUGUAAUAAUUUUCUGCAAAAAUUAUAAAAAUUAAAUUAAAAAUUUUUAACAACUUCAACUAUACAACUUAUAUUUUACACAUAGACUAUUAAAAAAUAAAACAUAAAAUAUAAACAAAAAUUAAAAAAUAAAUUUUUAAAAAUAAUUAUUAACUCAUUAUAUUAAAAUCAAUAAAUAAGCAUACAUAUGAAUAUUAAAUAAAAAUAUUAAAAUAAUUAAAAUUAUGACCUAUUAGUACACAUAUGAGAUAAUUUGAAAAAUACAAUAAAACAUAUAGUUUAAAAUUCGAUAAUAUUAAUUAUAAAAAUUUAUUAAUUAUAGACAUCAUAUAGGUAUGAAAUUAUGAAUAUUAUGAGUACAAAUUAUGGAUGUUAUUAACAUGAAAUAAUGGAUGUUAUGUGUAUGAAUCUAUGGAUGUUAUGAGUAAAUUUAUCAAUUUUUAAUUUAAGAAUUUGAUAUUUUUUUUAAAUUCAAUUAUGAUAAAAUUUAAAAACAUAUGUGUUAACUUUAUAGUUACUUAUGCAAUAACUAAUUAAAAAAUGAUAUGUAUAUGGAUGUAAUAUCUAAUAAACAUAAAUUUAAUUUUUAGAUGUUAGUUGUAUGUAAUUAUGGAUGUUAUGUAUAUGAACGUAUGAAUUUAGUUAGUACAAUAUAAUUAUAAAUGCACAUAAAAGUACAAAAAAAAAUUAAGUCAGUUUAUUAUCAUACCUCAUCAAAGCUAGUAUGUUUUUCAUAUUCUCGAAAAUUGGUUGACUGACAACCUCGUCGGGUGAGUCCGUCUGUUGUUCAAAUUCUUCAUUAGAUAGGUACCGUAUUAAGGUCGAAUUCAAAUGCCAUACUAUUUGCAAUGAUAAACGCGAUUUCUUGUAAAAUUUCUUGACUUAUACACUAUUGUGCUUACAAUGGUAUUAGAGUCAUGAUUUUUGAAUGAUCAUAAUUGAAUUAAUGGAAGGUAUAUAUUACAAAAAAAUUAAGUGCAAUUAAAAUACCUUAACGGAAAUAAAGAAUUAAUAAUUUUUUCGUAUCUCUAUUGAUUGGUAUUAAAUGCCUUAAGAGAAACAAAGAAUCAAGUGCAAUUAACUCAAUUAAUAUAUAUUAUCAUUACCGUCUAUUAUUAUUAUUAUUAAUAUUUAAUGUAUUAUUAAAUGAGCAAUGCUAGGGAACCAAAAGGGUAUUAGCCAAAAAUCAGCCAAAAUAUUUUUGGUGAAUCCAAAAUUUCUACGAAUUAAUAUAUAUGGAUGUUUCUUCUGCUAAGUAUCAGAAUGUUUCUUUUUCAUACUAAAUGAAUGUUCUUUUAUAUAUUUUUUGAAUUUUUUUGUAUUGCAAAUGUGAAUGCCUCUAUUUCUUUAAAAAUUUCAUUUUUUUAAAAUUUUAUAGAUAUUUAAUUAUUUUUGCUAAAAUAUAAUUAGAUAUUUCUUUUGUUAAAUAUUAGGAUGUUUUUUUUCAUAUUAGAUGAAUAUUUUUUUAUAUUUUUGUUUAAAUGCUUGUAACAUCCACGAGAAAUUUUGUUUAUAACCUGGUUGGUGACAUUUAAGUCUAAGAUUACAAAGGAAGAGAAGUUUGUUGUCAAAAAUAUUAAGUAUUGAUUACAAGAAUAUCAUAUAGUAAGAGAUAUGAUAUUAUAAUUAAUAUGAUUAAUAAGUGAAGUUGAUAAGAAUAUGAUAAAUAAAAUAAUAAGAGAAUAAAAUAAAAAAUAAAACUGUUAUUAAGUAAUGUAAAUGAAGUAAAUUAUGAAAAAUUUUAGUUAAUUAUGGCUUACCAAACUUUUUCUUUGAUUCAUAAACAUCAUAUAUAUCCAAAACAGUAAAUUUUAUUGGUUCUUAAUAAAUGUCCAUAUCUAAUAUAAGUGGGGCUUGACUUAACUAGAGUAGAGUAGUGUGAUCAUUAUUGUAUUCACAUGGAAUUAUUCCGCACGCCAAGCAAUCUCAUCAAUAAGUGACCCAUCACUACGGUGAUAUAUCAAGUCACGUAUCUUUAAUUACCAUAAAUAUUUUAGGAACAAAAUACUUUUGAUUUGUUUCAUUAAUUUAUUUAUAACACCUUAAGUCACAACUAAAAAAAAAAAUUAUGUAAAUUCUAAAGUUUGAAGAUUUAUAAAGAAAUAAAAUAAAAAUUAACCGUUAUCGAAUUUAUAAUUAUUAUAAUAUAUAAAUUUUAUUAUCUUAAUUUAAGAAUUUAGACACUCGUUUUUUUAUUUUUUAUUUUUUUUUUACUUUAAAUGAGCCUAAUUGAUUGUAAGUAUAUUUUGAAUUUAUUAUAAAUUUUAGGAUAAUUCACAUUAAUAAAUUAACAUUCGUCCAAUAAUUUUACGUGAAUCACCUAAAAUAAAAAACAUCAUGUGUAUCACCCUAAUUACAUUUCUAUAUAAAUCGAAUGAGUCAGAUUAGAUUUAGCUUUCCAUAUAAUUAAAUUGAAAAAGUCUGGUUCGAUUUAUACAUCUUUACAUGCUAUCCUAGUAAAUCUAAUCAAUAUGUUUCAAUUUAUGCAUGCAUGCAUGCUAUCCUAGUAAAUCUAAUCACACUGUUUCGAUUUAACCAUGCACGUGAGCCCAUAGUAAUUCGAAACAAUCUAUUUCAAAUUACACCCUGAUAUUGUCCUUAUAUAUUCUAAUGGGACUGAUUAGAUUUACUGUGAGGCUAACCUAUAUAAAUAUGAUAUGAACGUUAAUUAUGUAUGAGAGUAAAAUACAAUGGCUAGUGAGGAUAGUUUUCUAGUAUUAGUGUACUAUAGAGGGUCGAUUAAGAAAAAAACACGUUUUGAAAUUAAAUUUACUGAUAAGGAUCCCCAUAGUGUUUUUUUGAAACCUUCAACGAGUUUCACUGAGUUCCUGAAUUCUAUAAUCCAAAAACUGGGGUUGCAAGACGUGAAACGGGUUGAGAAAUUAUUCUAUAGAAUUUCGAUUUCAGUUUUGCGGGAUGACGUGAAGUACGAUUCGUUCUUCAUAGGGAGUAACGAAGAUUUGGAAGUAUUCCAUUGUCAUUGGCAGUUUCCCGAGGUCAGGACCCUUGAGCUGUUGGCCAAACUUAUAGGUGUGGUCUCCAGCUCAAGCGGUUCGAACCGGGCUCCCCAAGCUCCAGCAACGGCAGCCUGUUCUAGUUCGAGGCUUGGUGGUGCCUCGUCAUCCGUGCCUGUGAUUACGCCUAAGGUAAUGUUGGUUGCCUCCCCGUCCUUCGCAGCUGAUCUAAACCGCAGUGGUGACGGAGAAGUAGGUAUUACUGAUACGGCACUGGUUUCAUUACAGGGUAGAGCACCAGAUGGUAUAGACGAUGUACUACGGGAUGAUGAUGAGGAUGACAAUGUGGAGCCGAACAUAAUUGCCGAUGAUAGUGAUGAUGACAUAGCAGGAAGUAAUCCAAUUGAUGGUGGUGCAAUGUUUAGUUUAGGGACUUAGCAGUACCUCCUGCACUUUUCAAAUUUAGACUUGAAUGCCAUGAGAUAGCAGGGGAUUCUUGGUGAACCUAUUGGAUUUGGUGCCAGAGACACACAAGAUGCUGGAGGACUAGUGAAGUUUCAGGUUGUCAGCAGUUUUAGGAUAAAGAGGAAGUCGUGUUAAGCGUAAAGACUUAUAACAUCCGACGCAGUGUUCAGUAUAAAGUGGUGGAGUUUGAUUAUCGCAAGUACUGCGAAAAGUGUAAGAAAUUUGGCAACGGGUGCACAUGGUUGAUUCGGAUCAGUCUCCGCCAGCGUAAAGGUAUUUUGGAGGUAAAACAGUACAAUGAACCUUAUACUUGUCUAGCCACGUUGAUAUCGAGUGAUCAUAGGAGUCUUGAUUAUUAUGUGAUAUCGGCAUUCAUACUGCCAAUGGUUAGAGCUAAUGCUGCCGUGUGUAUCAAGGUACUUCUAAAUGCGACAGAGGCACUGCACAUUUCGGUUUUAUACCGACUUACAUGAGGGUUUGGUUGGCUAAGCAGAAGGCCAUGGCACAGAUUUACGAAAAUUGGGAUGAGUCAUACAAUGAGUUGUCGUGAUGGGUACUAGGUAUCCAGAUGACGAUGCCGGGUAGUGUUGCAGUGCUGAGGACGAUCCUUGUGCGAGUGGGUGAGCAAGUGGAUCAGUCGCAUUCCUAUUUCCACUGGAUUUUUUGGAUAUUUCUACCAUGUAUUGAGGCCUUACGACAUUGCAAGCCAUUGGUCAAUAUUGACGGGACCCACUUGUACAUCAAAUACGGGGGGACAUUGCUCGUUGCGAUUGGUUAGGACGAGAAUUCCAACAUCCUACUGGUUGCAUUUGCACUUGGGAAGGGUGAGAAUUCUGAGUCGUGGUCAUUUUUUCUAUCCCACAUCUGCCAGCACAUCACUCCGCAACUGGGUCUUCUAAUGAUACCGGAUCGGCACAACGGUAUCAAAGCCGCACUAGAAGCUCCCGACGGAGGUUGGGUAGCACCUGCUGCCUACCGUGCAUUCUGUAUUCAACAUGUGGCCGCCAAUUUUGUCCUAAUCUUUAAGGGCAAGGAUGCACGAAGGCUUUUGGUAAAUGCGGCUUAUGCCAAGAUUGAGGUUGAAUUUGACUACUGGUUUAAUAUUCUCCAUUCCGAAGAUCCUGCCAUGAGUGAUUGGGCUAAAAGGAUUGACUAUGUAAUGUGCAUAGAAGUAGUUUUAAAACGUCAUCAUUAGAUAUACAGUGUUGCCAAGCUGACAUUAGAUAUUAACUAUUUAGAUUUGACAAAAUAGUGACAUCCCCAGUCUGUAGGAGAUCUAUCCUAAGCCUCCAAUGAGCAACUCAAGGUCUCUUCUCGCUCGCAGUUAGGUUGUGACCUGACCACCUGCACCCCAAACACACGUUAUCACUAAAUGAAAAUAACUCCAAAUAAUAAAAGAUAAAGAUAGCACAUAAAUAGAACAUCACCUCAAGGCCAAAGGCCGGCCAAAAGUAUCAUAUUCAGCGGGCCUGAAACCAGAAAACUGCUAGAAGAUCCAUGACUGAAGCAGCUGCAAUGGACCAGCUAACUUCACAACGUUUCUGUUUGCCACGCGGCAUAUGCACCGUUAUAACUAUGACAGAGCAGUUAAUCCCCAACUGUACCCAUCUAUGUCCUCAAACUUGGCUACGUAUGGCAGCCAUUGAAUGUGCAGGAGAGUACCGGACUUGUCGCUAAAUAGCAGAGUCCCCAAAAGCAUCACGAUAUAGGCCCGGGCAUAUCUCCUAAUAGUGGCAUCGUCAGCGCCAUCAGGAAUCUCUCCGAAUGUGUCCUGCAUCCAACUGCAUCUCAUUGUAAACUUGUCGUUGCAGUUUGCAUGAGGCGAAACACCCAGCUGCUCCUGGAACCACAUCCAAACUGGGCGACCACACUCGAUGUAUCGCUCAAACUCCAUCAGGCAUGACGUACUGUCUAACGAUCGGCAACCCUAACUGGUACGCCACGUCCUGCAGUGUAAUCGUGUACUCUCCGAACGACAUAUGAAACGUGUGCAUUUCCGGAUGCCAUCUUUCUACGAAUGCAUUCACCAACGGCUCAUCCAACCUAAACCAAGUCUCGUUCAGCCUCGUAAGAUGGUAUAAACUGGUCAUCUGUAAGUACGAAACGAUCCUCUCAUCCAUGUACAUACCUUAUUAUCGUCUCAUGCUACCGAUACAUCGGUGGGACUACAUAAACAACAUAACAAAUUGUCUCUUACGACCACAUCAAAACAUAUUUACAUAACAAUAUCAACUAAUGCAUAUCUUAAUCUAAAUAAUGCCAUAAAUACAACCAAAUAAUGUUAUGGGUACAAACACAAAAUAAAUUUAUAUAUUCAUCAAUCUAGGCCUAAUAAAAAUAAGUUUAAUACUAAUAAAAUAUUUUUACUAACAACCGAAAUCACAACAUCAAAUCCAUUGACUAGUCUUACUCUAACUAAGUUUCACUACAUAUUAUCUUCACUACUCAUAUUCUGCUACUUAUUUGUAACCACUAUCCAAAUUAGAACUUGCUCGGUCCAAUCUCUAGAGAUUAUUAAGCCACUAAUCUAACCACUCUAUUUAGUUUAACAAUUGUAAUAAUGACCAUCAUUAAAAGAGACAAAAAAGCAUUAACGUAAAAUAUUUAAUUCUAUUUUUGAAAAAAAAAUUGUAUACACCAACCUCUUCAUUGAUGAUACCAGCAAUAUGGGCAACUCUGUUCAAACGAUAAAGACAAUCUGAGUUAUCUCCCAUCACGUUAUUUAUCAAAUGUUGGAGUGUUUGGGCUGAGGUUUCUCUGAGCAUUUUGGAUUCGUGGUUCGAAUGAGUCCAAUUCGAACUCUAUUUAUAAGGAUCCUCCCAGUAAAUCUAAUUAGAUUCAUUCAAAUUAUCAUGGGCACGAAACCGUGGGUAAUUCGAAACAGCCAUAACCGAAUUACUAUAGGCUUUCCAAUUCCCGUAAAUUGAAACGGUUUGUUUCGAAUUACUAUGGACAAAUGUCCAAGGCUAAAUCAAAACAGGGUGCUUAGAUUUACUAGGAUAGCAUACAUGUAUGUAUAAAUCGAAACAUGUUAAUUAGAUUUAUUAGAACAGCAUACAAAUAUGUGUAAAUCGAACCAGGCUGUUUUGAUUUAUAUAAAAAGCUAAAUCUAAUCUGGACUUCUGGUUAAUUCGAUUUGCAUAGAGAUAUGACUAAGGUGAUUUACGUUAUGUUUUUUAUUUUGGGUGAUUCAUAUCAAAUUGAGCGAAUAUUGGUUUAUUAAUGUGAAUUACCCUAAAUUUUAUAUCCCUUAAAAAUAUUAUUUUUUAAAGUGCUUAUAAAUAAAAAUUUCAUCCACUUAUUUUUUAAAUUAAAUUAAAUCUACUUAAUUAUUAAUCUGGAACCAAAGUUUACGGUAAUACUAAAAAAAAUUAUUUAAUUUAAUAUUCAUAAUUAUAUAUAUAACAUCUAUAUUGAUGUAUUUAUUAUAUUUAAAAUUAACUAAUUAUUCCAACCAUUAAAUUUGAGCUAUUUGGUCAAUUGCUGAAUCAUCUAAACUACUUGAGUUUUUGUUAGUGUUCAUGCACCCUUACUAUUAAGUUGUUGUUUUCGUAAUAAUUACAACUUAUAAUCAAUUAUUGAGCAACAUAUCAUAGUUAUUAAUUUAUUAAUUUAUGGACUUUGUUAGAUAAAUAAUAAUUUUUGUGAACAAUAUGAAUAAUAUACUUUAAAAAUGGUUCAAUAAAAUAAAAAUACAUUACACCCUCAAAUUAUUCACCUAAAUCUUAAUAUUAGAAUAAUUAUUUGCACACUUAAUAAAUUAAUAAAUAUUCAAUAUAUUCAUUAUUCACAUUAUUUAAUAUUUUCAUUAUCUACCUAUAUACUUUUCCUAAAUUUAUUAUAUAAUGGUACGCAAAUACAACCUUCUACCAUGCAUAUCAUGGAUCUUCAAAACCUUAUCUGUAUCUUCACCACCUUCCUCUUUCUCUUUAUGCUAUUGAACAUAGCCAUUAAGAAAUUUAGUUCUUCGAGGGAUAUUACGAAUUUACCCCCAGGGCCAAGAAAACUACCCAUGAUAGGAAACAUGCACAACCUUGUAGGAUCAAUGCCCCAUGAAUGCCUAAGAAACUUAGCAUCCAAAUAUGGACCCUUAAUGCACCUUAAACUAGGAGAAGUGUCCCACAUAAUAGUUACAUCACCUGAAAUGGCACAAGAGAUUAUGAAGACUCAAGAUCUCAACUUUUGUGAUAGGCCAAACCUUCUCUAUGCAAGAGUCAUGAAUUACAAUGGAACAGACAUUGCGGUAAAAAAUAUAGUUACCAGGAAGUUUUUAUAUCAUCUUUUGAAGAAGCAUUGCAAAUAGCAGGAAAAAAUUGUAUUGCUGAUCUGUAUCCUUCAAUUAGAGUAGUGCUUGAAAUGAUGAGUAGAGACAAGUCUAAGCUUGAAGAACUGUAUAUAAAGACUGAUAAGGUAUUACAAGACAUCAUAGAUGAUCAUAGAAAUAGAAAAGGUGGCAAAUGUAAAGAAGAAGAAGGCAGUGAAGAUUUAGUUGAUGUUCUUCUCAAGUUUCAACAAAAAGAUUCUGAAUAUCCCUUAACUGAUGAUAACAUUAAAGCAGUUAUCCAGGUUAGUCUAAUCAAGACAAUUAUUAAUGUAACAUGCCAGGAACCCAUAAUCAUGCACAACACAAACAAAGUUUCCAUAACAAAAAAAAUGAGCCGUCAUAAUAACUUGCAUGCAUAUAUAUAUAUAUAGUACACUCAAGGACACCUGCACUAUUACAAGUACAAUUUACAAGAGCUCAAUCUGAUUUAACAAUUUCAUUACAACCCAUCUCUUAAUAAAACUUUAUAUAUAUAUAUAUAUAUAUUAUAUUACAAUUUAAAUGCAUCAAAAGUUUUGACUAUUUAAUUUUUUUAUAAUUUUUUUCUUUAUACUAAUAAGAUUAUUAAUUCCUUAAUAUGUUUGUUAGCAAAACCUUUAUUAUAAUUAAUCCAUUUGCAGGACAUAUUUGCUGGUGGUGGAGAAACAUCCUCAGCGGUUGUGGAAUGGGCAAUGGCUGAAAUGAUAAAGAAACCAAAAGUGAUGGAAAGAGCACAAUCUGAGGUUAGAAGGGUUUAUGGUAGUAAAGGAUAUGUGGAUGAAUCAGAAUUGCACCAAUUGACAUACCUUAAGUGUAUCAUCAAAGAAACAUUAAGGUUACAUCCAUCUGUGCCAUUGUUAGUUCCUAGAGAGAACAAAGAACCAUGCCAAAUCAAAGGGUAUCAAAUUCCAGCCAAUUCUAGAAUUAUUAUCAAUGCUUGGGCAAUUGGAAGAGAUCCAACGUAUUGGGUUGAUGCCAUGGAAUUUAAGCCUGAGAGGUUUGUUGAUAAUUAUUCAAUUGAUAAUAAUAGAGGCACAAACUUUGAGUUUAUUCCAUUUGGUGGUGGAAGAAGAAUGUGUCCCGGGAUUACAUUUGCUACACCAAACAUGGAGUUGCCACUUGCUCAACUUCUUUACCAUUUUGAUUGGAAGCUUCCCAAUGGAAUCAAGAAUGAGGAACUUGAUAUGAGUGAGUUGUUUGGGAUCACUAUAAGAAGAAAAAAUGAUCUCUGCUUAAUUUCCAUUAUUCAUCAUCAACCCUAAUUAAUAUAAAUUAUCCCUAGAGUGAGAAAAUAAAAAAAAGUGAUUUUAUAUAUUAUGUUUUUAUUCACCACAUUUGAUCAUUUUUCUAUUUCUAUUACAAAUUCUAUAACCCCAAAGAUAAAGUCUAUAAAUAAUUCAAAAAUAUAAAAUAUCUCUCAUUUCAUAAAUUAAUUAAUUUUGAAGUUGAGUUAAGCCUAUUAAAUUUCAAUUUUAAUAACUUAUAAGUCUGUUGUUAUUGCACUGUUUUAAAGUGGAGUAUAUAGUCAACAAACACUACAACAAAAAUUGCGAGCAACGGCGAUUUUUCGAUCAAGUCAUGACGGUUUAAUUUAAACUACUGUUAAAUAUCACCCACAACGGUUUAAAAAAUGAUAACAGAUAAAUUGUCGGCAUAGAAGCUAAGUGGCAGCUAUUUUAUAUAUAACCAUUAGAAUAACUACUAUAUUAAGCACACAGUAAACGACGGCGGUUUGAAAUUGUCAUUAUACAUGGUUUAAAAAUGCAAAUUAAAGUUCUUUGUCAUGGUUUGUAAAAGCUGCCAAAAAAUGGUUCAAAAAAUGGGUAUAAAAAUAUUAAGAUAAACAUAUAUUUACAUAUAGGUAUAUUCAUAUGAAAUUAAUAAUUAAAAAGUAUUAAAUAAUAAUUUAAUUAAAUUGAUCAAAUUAUCUAUCGAAUGUGAAAUAUAAAUUUCAAAUUUGCAUGUAAUAAAUUUUCACCAAAUAUUAUAUAUAUGGGUUAUGGAGAAGCAGAAAAAUCAAAGAAGAAUGCAUCACCUAUACAUUACUAUACCAAAGUCAGAAGUUAGGUAUAAUUAAGUAACCAUCUUAACUAAUUGGCAGCUAACAACUUUAACAUAUAACGUGUAAAGGCUUAUAGUUUGAAAAUUUUUUUAAAUAUAUCUAAAAUAAUGAUAUUUUAAUCAUUUUAAUUAAUAUAUUAUAUAAAAUUUUUAUAGAUUAAAAUAUUGAUGUUUAAAGAAUAUUUAAAAUUCUUGCGUGUGACAUAUAUGUAUAAAUUCUGCUAGGAAAAUAGUGAGAAAUCUUGACAAUGUGUACAAUAAACUUAUUAUUUACUCCAAUAAGGAUAAAUAAUAAAAAUUACUCCACAGAUUACCUAAAUUCAAAAACUCUCAUUCAAUUAUUUUACAUCAAAUGUCAAAUUUUAAAUCCCCCAAUUUCAAAUUUCAAAAUUUUAAAAAAUCCAAUUAGUUAUUUCAAAAAAAUAACCAUUCGAAAUCCUAAUUUAACAAAGUAUUUUACUCCAAUACUCUCUUCUUUUUCAACCGGCAGCCACCCCCACCUUCAUCAAUAAUCAUCUCACUUCACCAUCACUACUUGACUUGCCACACGUCACUCACUCUUAGUAAAAAUAACCAUCCACUUAUGGAUAAAAAUAAUCAUUCGCAUACCUAAUAAAUUGAACAUCUAACAUAUUUUAAUUAUAUAUAACUAAAUCCAAUACAAUCAAAAUAAUUAUCUACAUAAAAAUUAAAAUAACCAUUCGGAUACCUACUAAAAUGAUCAUCCUAAAUUGAUCACUAAAAUAGAAGAAGAAGGAGAUGAAUAAACAGAAAAAGCAACUAUGAUCAUCAUUUAAUUUUUAUUAAAAAAAAUGUAUAAUUUGACACAUGAGUCUUAUGAUUUGAUGUAACUAUAAAACUGGAGAAAUAAAAAAUAAAAAAAAGUUUGAACAAAUGAGGAGACAUUAGUGAGAAUCAAAAGUAAGCAAUUGAGUGUUUGAUUUGAUAUUGCGUUCAAACACGCGUGCGUUAUAUCUACCAUACUCACACGGUUAAUUCAAACAGCGGCAUUGUUGAGCUUUUGACGGCGUAUGCGGGAAUCCGUGGUGGCGUCGACUGGAUUCUGCGGCGGCAACAUCGGCGGCACAGUCGGCCGAGAGGGGUGACAACGGUAUAGAUGAGGCUGCGGCAGCAAGAGAGGCACCGGAAACUGGGAGCAUAUGGUGAGAAUAGGAGUGACCAUUCGUAUUGUGAAUGAGUUUAAUUUUUACGGACGACGGCAGAGCUAUGGGCGACGGCGACUGCUGUUGAUAGUAGCGUGACACGGGUGAGAUAAGAAGAAACUAGACUAAUUAUUAUUUAAUAUUAAUUUUAAUUUUAUCUCUAUUAUACACAUUAUAUACUAAAUUUUUUGGCUCUUCAUGUUUUCUCUAUAUGUAUACAUCUAGCUCGGUCUAAAAUAUUUUUACAUGAUCAAUACAAUUCUAUAACAUUUAUAUUUUAACACAGUCUCGAUAACUGAUAGUAUAUUUUAUUAGGGAUACUUUUUAAAAUCUUCUAACAAAUAUCUUAAACGUACUAGUAGUCAAGAGUACUAUAUAAAAAGACAAAGCUUACUAAUUAUUAUAUAUUAUUAAAAAGGCAAAAUUGUUAUAUUUUAAUACAUAAACAUUAUCAAACAAUUUCUAUCAUUAUCUUUUUACAUAAUGUUAUUAACGGACCUUUUAGCUAAAUCUUAACUUUUUUCUCAAAAUAUUUUUAUAUUGCUUUGAACAAUAAAAAUUAAUAAUUUAAUUUAAAAUCAUCUUAUAUAUCCAAACAAUUUCACUAGCUACAAAACGGGUCAAAACAGUAAGUUCAAUUGGUUCUUAAUAAAUGUCCAUAUCUAAUAAGUGGGGCCUGAAUUAAUUAUCAGUGGAAAUUAAGAGAAUUCAGCAUACCAAGCAAUCUCAUCAGUGCCCGACUCACUCCGCCGAUAUAUCUAGUAAGAGAUUGGAUAAAAUGGCAAAGAUUAAAAUGUUGAAAUGGAUGAGUGGUCAUACGCGAUUGGAUAAAAUAAGGAACGAAAAUAUAAGGGAGAGAAUUGGAGUAGCACCCAUUGUGAAAAAGAUGGUUGAAUCGCAUCUCAGGUGGUUUGGAUAUGUAAGAAGAAGACCGAUAAAACAUCCAGUCAAGAAGGUGGAUGAGAUGGAAGAUGGACAAGGGGUAAAAGACAGAGGAAGACCUAAGAAAACCAUUUAUGAGAUGAUCAAACGAGAUCUACAUGAAAACGGUCUCUCUAUUAACAUGAUACAUGGCAGAGCACAAUGACGACGUUUGAUUCAUGUAGCCGACUCCACUUAGUGGGACAAGACUUUGUUAUUCUUGUUGUUAUAUUAUAAAAUUAAUCCUCCUUAAUAAUUUUAAUAUUAAUAAUUCUUUUUAAUAAUUAAAUUUUUCUAACAAUCAUUUAGAAUAAUUUUUCUAUUAUAUAAUGGUAGGCAAAUAUAACCUUCUACCAUGCAUAUCAUGGAUCUUGGAAACCUUUUGUUUAUUCUCACCACCUUCCUCUUUCUCUUUGUACUAUUCAACUUAGUUAUUAAGAAAUCCACUUUUAGUAAGACCAAUUUACCCCCAGGACCAUGGAAACUACCACUCAUAGGAAAUAUCCACCAAUUUGUUGGUUCUUCACAACUCCAUGAAACCCUAAGAAACUUAGCAUCCAAAUAUGGACCCUUAAUGCACCUUAAACUAGGAGAAGUGUCCCACAUCAUAGUUACAUCACCUGAAAUGGCACAAGAGAUUAUGAAGACUCAAGAUCUCAACUUUUGUGAUAGGCCAAACCUUCUCUUUGCAAGAGUCAUGACUUACAAUUGCACAAACAUUGCCUUUGGCCCCUAUGGAGAUUAUUGGAGGCAUGUACGAAAGAUAUGUAGCAUGGAGUUAUUAACAACAAAACGUGUUCAAUCUUUUAGGCACAUAAGAGAAGCAGAGGUUUCAGAGUUGGUCAAAGCAAUAUCUCAAAGUCAAGGCUCCAUUUUCAAUCUCUCUCACAAGAUUUUAUCAACGACCUAUGGAAUAACGGCUAGAAUAGCAUUUGGUACAAAAAUAAAAUUAUGCUCUCAUCAUCAGUCAUCAUAUGCGUAUUAUCUUAUAUUCUUUUGUUUAUAAUUAACUACUAUAUUUCAUAGAAAUGUUGAGUAAAAAAAAUUAGGUAAAAACAGUCAAAAUUUAUCUUAUUUAAUAUUUAUUANNNNNNNNNNNNNNNNAAUUACUGUAAUAAUAGUCAUAGUUGAUACAUGUCAUGCUGGCAAAGCUAUUAUUUACUUUAGGGGCAGGUUUCUAAAGGUGAAAAUUCAGGUGCAGUUAACUUUAUGUAAAGUUGAUAGUUGAGAGUCGUUAAAUGAUUUGACAAGUUUGACUAAAUAUAUCAUAUAACAACUCUCACUAUUAACUUCAUAUGAAAUUAACCGUGCACUUGAGUUUCUACCUUUUCUAAGACUACUGAAAAAAACUUCGUAAUUUGUUGGAAUUAUUGUGAUGUCAUUCCAAAUAUAAUUAUUAAGAAAAUUUCUUAUAAUUUAAUACAUAUUUUAAUAUUUGUAGUUUACAUUCAAUUUUUAUUGUUAUUUUAUUGUACUCUGUCAUAUUUACUAUCUAAUAAUUGUAUGUUUUUUAUUUGACAAUAUAAGUAAAAAAUAUAGCUAUCAGGAAGUUUUUAUAUCAUGUGUUGAGGAAGCAACGCAAAUAGGAGGAGGAAAUUGUAUUGCUGAUCUGUAUCCUUCAAUUAGAGGACUGCUUGAAAUGAUGAGUAGAGGCAAGACUAAGCUUGAAGAAGUGCACAGAAAGUCUAAUAAGAUAUUGCAAGACAUCAUAGAUGAUCAUAGAAAUAGAAGAAAUAGUGGCAAAUGUGACAAAGAAGGAGAAGAUCUAGUUGAUGUUCUUCUCAAAUUUCAACAAAAAGAUUCUGAAUAUUUUUUUACUGAUGACAAUAUCAAAGCAGUCAUCCUGGUUAGUCUGUUAACUAUAUAUGGAUUGAUCUUAUUAGAAAAAAUGAUAUAAUUAAUCAAUUUGCAGGACAUGUUUGCUGGUGGUGGAGAAACAUCUUCAGCAGUUGUGGAAUGGGCAAUGGCUGAAAUGAUAAAGAAACCAAGUGUGAUGGAAAGAGCACAAUCUGAAGUUAGAAGGGUUUAUGGUAGCAAAUGGUAUGUAGAUGAAUCAGAAUUGCACCAAUUGACAUACCUUAAGUCUAUCAUCAAAGAAACCUUAAGGUUACAUCCAUCUGUGCCAUUGUUAGUUCCAAGAGAGAACAAAGAACCAUGCCAAAUCAAUGGGUACCAAAUUCCAGCCAAUUCUAGAAUUGUUAUCAAUGCUUGGGCAAUUGGAAGAGAUCCAACCUAUUGGGUUGAUGCCAUGGAAUUUAAGCCUGAGAUGUUUGUUGAUAAUUAUUCAAUUGAUAAUAGAGGCACAAACUUUGAGUUUAUUCCAUUUGGUGGUGGAAGAAGAAUGUGUCCCGGGAUUGCAUUUGCUACACCAAACAUGGAGUUGUCACUUGCUCAAUUUCUUUAUCAUUUUGAUUGGAAGCUUCCCAAUGGAAUCAAGAAUGAUGAACUUGAUAUGACUGAGUUGUUUGGGAACACUGUAAGAAAAAAAAAUGAUCUCUGCCUAAUUCCCAUUAUUGUCAAGGAUAUGCAUAAAGAUAACAAUGUAAUCAGCAGUUAGGAUUAUAAGUUACAUGUAGUUAGCCUUGGUGGUAUGGUUAGGUAAUUCUAUUAGGAAUUCUGUUUGAUUCUGUUUUCAUUCUAAUAUUGUGAGUAACCCAUGUAACCUCUUUAUAAGGCUAAACUUUGCUAUGGUCAAUAACACAAUUUCCAUUUCCUUCUUUACUAAUAUAUGAUCAAAUAGUUCUUUCUCUCUAAACCUUCACUUAUUUCUUACACACACUGUAUAUUCUUCAAGAUCACUUUAUGAUAUCAAGAUCAUAGGUUUAGAUCCGAACAGCACUUCAGAGAACCAGGGCUUAAUUGCAUAGGAAUAUAUCUCCAAGAUUAAACAAGUUGCAGAUACUUUUACUUUUUUUGGUAUCUCUGCCACCUCUAAAGAAGACAUCGAUGCAAUCUUGAGAGAUUGAAUAUGGAUUAACAGAUGCUUAUCACUACAAUCAUGUAUGAUUAAACAAAUCUCCCUUCUUGCUUGAAUAGAUAUUUUUUAUAUAGCUAAAAUCACUAAAUACCUUCAUUAUGAAAUAUUAAAAAAUUAACAUAAUUAAUUAUUUUUAUUCAUCAGUUAGUCAAUAAUAUUCACUACUAGAAAACUAGUUAUUACAGACGGAUAUUUCCGACGGAUUUUAUCCCACUGAAAUACAGACAGAAUUUCAGAGGGAUUUUUUUGUCAGAAAACAAAAAAAAUAGAUUAGGAUAAAUUACAGACGGAAAAGAGAAUCCAUCGAUAAUUCCGUCGAAAAAAUUAAUUUUUUUCUGUGAGAAAUGGUUACAGACGGAUUUUUCAUCUGUAAUUAAAUGGACAAAAAAUUGCAUUUUAUUAAGUUAUUACAGACGGAUUUUCCGUCUGUAAUUUAAAAGUUUCCGUCAGAAAAUAUAUUGAAAUUAGGGUUGUUACUGAUAACUCCUCCAUUCAAUCACGAUCCUUCUACUUGGAGAAGCAGAAACCUGGAAUGAAUCAGGCAUUGGCGAUUUUAGAGAUGACGGGAAAGGCAGCGCCCUUGGAUUGAGAGUGAUUAAGGGAGGCUCGUUCCUUGAUCUUCUGCAUCUGAACAUGCGCUCCAUGAGGAGCUCGUACUGGCACUUCUCGUAGGAGUGACGCUCGUUCUCGCACUUCCAUGGAAGGUAGAACUCGGCCUGGCGGCACUUGUUGAGAGGGAUGAGGAGGUGUGUGCACUGGUCCUGUAUGCAACAGAGCUUCGGUGCAACAGAAGCUCAGUACAAUGGAGGUUCGGUGCGACGGCAUUGCAAGGCUGAGAGGCGGCGCUGACGGAGCAUUUGGAGGAAAUGAGUGUGUAGAAGUAGAAGGAUCGUGAUUGAAUGGAGGAGUUAUCAGUAACAACCCUAAUUUCAAUAUAUUUUCUGACGGAAACUUUUAAAUUACAGACGGAAAAUCCGUCUGUAAUAACUUAAUAAAAUGCAAUUUUUUGUCCAUUUAAUUACAGAUGGAAAAUUCGUCUGUAACCAUUUCUCACAGAAAAAAAUUAAUUUUUUCAACGGAAUUAUCGAUGGAUUCUCUUUUUCGUCUGUAAUUUAUCCUAAUCUAUUUUUUUUGUUUUCUGACAAAAAAAUCCCUCUGAAAUUCUGUCUGUAUUUCAGUGGGAUAAAAUCCGUCGAAAAUAUCCGUCUGUAAUAACUAGUUUUCUAGUAGUGGAUAAUUCACAUUAAUAAAUCAACAUUCGUCCAAUAAUUUUACGUGAAUCACCUAAAAUAAAAAAUAUCAUGUGUAUCAUCCCAAUCACAUUUCUAUACAAAUCGAACAAGUCAAACUAGAUUUAGUUCUCUAUAUAAUUAAAUUGAAAAAGUUUGGUUCGAUUUAUACAUCUUUACAUGAUGUCCUAGUAAAUCUAAUCAAUAUGUUUCAAUUUAUGCAUGCAUGCAUGUUAUCCUAAUAAAUCUAAGCACACUGUUUCGAUUUAGCCAUGCAUGUGAGCCCAUAGUAAUUCGAAACAAUCUAUUUCGAAUUACACCCUGAUAUUGUCCUUAUAUAUUCUAAUGGGACUGACGAUUAGAUUUAUUGUAAGGACAACCUAUAUAAAUAUGAUAUGAACGUUAAUUAUGUAUGAGAGUAAAACAAAAUGGCUAGUGAGGAUGGCAUAGACGAUGUACUAUGGGAUGAUGAUGAGGAUGACGAUGUGGAGCCAAACAUAAUUUCCAAUGAGAGUGAUGAUGACAUAGCAGGGAGUAAUCCAGUUGAGGGUGGUGCAGCGUCUAGUUCAGGGACUAAGCAGUAUCCCCUGCACUUUUCAAAUUUAGACUUGGAUGCUAUGAGAUAGCAGGGGGUUCCUGGGGAACCUUUUGAAUUUAGUGCCAGAGACACACAAGAUGCUGGAGGACUAGUGAAGUUUCAGGUUGGUUAGCAGUUUUAGGAUAAAGAAGAGGCCGUGUUAAGCGUGAAGACUUAUAACAUCCGACGCGGUGUUCAGUACAAAGUGGUGGAGUCUGAUUAUCGCAAGUACUACGGGAAGUGUAAGGAAUUUGGCAACGGGUGCGCAUGGUUUAUUCGGAUCAGUCUUCGCCAGCGUAGAGGUUUUUGGAGGUAAAAUGGUACAAUAGACUUCAUACUACCGUGCAUUCUGUAUUCGACAUGUGGCCGCCAAUUUUUCUAUAAACUUUAAGGGCAAGGAUGCACGAAGACUUUUGGUAAAUGCGGCUUAUGCCAAGACUGAGGUUGAAUUUGACUACUGGUUUGAUAUUCUCCAUUCCGAAGAUCCUGCCAUGAAUGAUUGGGCUAAAAGGAUUGACUAUGUAAUGUGCAUAGAAAUAGUUUUGAAACUUCAUCAUUAGAUAUACAGUGUUGCCAAGCUGACAUUAGAUAUUAACUAUUUAGAUUUGACAAAUAGUGACAUCCCUAAUCUGUAGGAGAUCUAUCCUAAGCCUCCAAUGAGCAACUCGAGGUCUCUUCUCACUCGCAGUUAGGUUGUGACCUGACCACCUGCACCCCAAACACAUGUUAUCACUAAAUGAAAAUAACUCCAAAUAAUAAAAGAGAAAGAUAGCACAUAAAUAGAACAUCACCUCAAGGCCAAAGGCCAGCCAAAAGUAUCAUAUCCUGCGGGUCUGAAACCAGAAAACUGUUAGAAGAUCCAUGACUGAAGCAGCUGUAAUGAACCAGCUAACUUCACAACGUUUCUGUUUGCCACACGGCACAUGCACCAUUAUAACUAUGACAGAAUAGUUAAUCCCCAACUGUACCCAUUCAUGUCCUCAAGCUUGGCUACGUAUGGCAGCCAUUGAAUGUGCAGGUGAGUACCGGACUUGUCACCAAAUAGCAGAGUCCCCAAAAGCAUCACGAUAUAGGCCCGGACAUAUCUCCUAAUAGUGGCGUCGUCAGCGCCAUCAGGAAUCUCUCCGAAUGUGUCCUGCAUCCAACUGCAUCUCAUUGUAAACUUGUCGAUGCAAUUCGUAGGAGGCAAAACACCCAACAGCUCCUAGAACCACACCCAAACUGGGCGACCACCCUCGAUGUAUCGCUCAAACUCCAUCAGGCAUCCAGUGACGUACUGUCCAACGAUCGGCAGCCCUAACUGAUACACCACGUCCUGCACUGUAAUCGUGCACUCUCCGAACGGCAUAUGAAACAUGUGCGUUUCCGGAUGCCAUCUUUUCACGAAUGCAUUCACCAACGGCUCAUCCAACUUAAAUCAAGUUUCGUUCAGCCUCGUAAGAUGAUAUAAAUCGGCCAUCUACAAGUACAAAACGAUCCUCUCAUCCAGGUACAUACCUUACUAUCAUCUCAUGCUACCGAUACAUCGGUGGGGCUACAUAAACAACAUAACAAAUUGUCUCUUACGACCACAUCAAAACAUAUUUACAUAACAAUAUCAACUAAUAUAUAUCUUAAUCUAAAUAAUGCCAUAAAUACAACCAAAUAAUGUUACGAGUACAAACACACAAUAAAUUUAUAUAUUCAUCAAACUGGCCGAAUAAAAAUAAGUUUAAUACUAAUAAAUAUUUUUACUAACAACCCAAAUCACAACAUCAAGUCCAUUGGCUAGUCUUACUCUAACUAAGUUUCACUACACAUUAUCUUCACUACUCAUAUUUUUCUACUUAUUUGUAACUACUAUCCAAAUUAGAACUUGCUCGGUCAAACUUCUAGAGAUUAUCAAGCGACUAAUCUAACCACUCUAUUUAGUUUAACAAUUGUAAUAAUGACCAACAUUAAAAGAGACAAAAAAGCAUUAACGUAAAACAUUUAAUACUAUUUUUGAAAAAAAAAAUUGUAUACACCAACCUUUUUAUUGAUGAUAUAUAUACCAGCAAUAUGAGCAACUCUGUCCAAAUGAUAAAGACGAUCUGAGUUAUCUCCCAUCACGUUAUUUAUCAAAUGUUGGAGUGUUUGGGCUAAGGCUUCUCUGAGCGUUUUGGAUUCGUAGUUCGAAUGAGUCCAAUUCAAACUCUAUUUAUAAGAAUCCUCCUAGUAAAUCUAAUUAGAUUCAUUCAAAUUAUCAUGGGCACGAAACCGUGGGUAAUUCGAAACAGCCAUAACCGAAUUACUAUGGGCUUUCCAAUGCUCGUAAAUUGAAGGUUUGUUUUGAAUUAUUAUGGACAAACGUCCAAGGCUAAAUCGAAACAGGGUGCUUAGAUUUACUAGAAUAGCAUACAUGCAUGUAUAAAUCGAAACAUGGUGAUUAGAUUUACUAGAACAGCAUGCAAAUAUGUGUAAAUCGAACCAGACUGUUUUGAUUUAUAUAGAAAGUUAAAUCUAGUCUGGACUUCUAGUUAAUUCGAUUUGUAUAGAGAUAUAAUUGGAGUGAUUCACGUUACGUUUUUCAUUUUGGGUGAUUCACAUCAAAUUGAACGAAUGUUGGUUUAUUAAUGUGAAUUACCUUAAAUUUUAUAUCGCUUAAAAAUAUCAUUUUUAAAGUGCUUAUAAAUAAAAAUUUCAUCCACUUAUUUUUUAAAUUAAUUUUUAAAAUUGAAUUAAAUCUACUUAAUUAUUAAUCUGGAACUAAAGUAUAUCAUAGUUAUUAAUUUAUUAAUUUAUAGAUUUUGUUAAAUAAAUAAUAAUUUUUGUGAAUAAUAUGAACAAUUGAUUCUAAAAUUAAUUCAAUAAAACAAAAAUAUACUACAUCUUCAAAUUAUCUACCUAAAUCUUAAUAUUAAGAUAAUCAUUUACACACUUAAUAAAUUAAGAUAAAUACUAUUCUACCAUCUCUAAAGUAGCAUGUAAGUUACCCUCUCUGAUGUGUCAUAUUUUAAUUGGGUGAUUAUUUUAACCUGAGUUACCUUCUCCACUCUUUCGUCGUCAUUGCGACUCUCAAGCAUCACCGUCGCAUUGGUGUUUUGUUUUCUCUUCCUAAAUCAUUGUUCUAGAAAAUGUACUCUAACUCUCUCUAAUUGUGUUUACUCCUCUUCACUCCUUCGUCAUCGUCAUUAUGCCUCCCAAGAAUCACCGUCUCAUUGGAUGUCUUAUUUUCUCUUCCCAAAUCAUUCUUCCAAAAAAGGUACUUCAACUCUCUCUAAUUGCGUAUACUUUACUUGUUUCCACUCCUUUGUCGUUGUCAAUGUGCCUCCUAAGUAUCACCGUCUUAUUGGGUGUUCCAUUUUCUUCUUCUAACUCAGGUUAAAAUAAACACCAAAUUAAAAUAUGACACAUUAAAGAGGAUAACUUACAUGUUAUUUUAGAGAAGGUAGGAUAGUAUUCACCAUAAAUUAAAUAUUCGAUAUAUUCAUUAUUCACAUUCUUUACUAUUUUCAUUGUCUACCUAUAUACUUUAUAAUUUAUUAUAUAAUGGUACGCAAAUACAACCUUCUACCAUGCAUAUCAUCAUGGAUCUUCAAAACCUUAUCUCUAUCUUCACCACCUUCCUCUUUCUCUUUAUGCUAUUGAAAAUAGCCAUUAAGAAAUUUAGUUCUUCCAAGGAUAUUACCAAUUUACCCCCAGGACCAAGAAAACUACCCAUCAUAGGAAACAUGCACAACCUUGUAGGAUCAAUGCCGCCCCAUGAAUGCCUAAGAAACUUAGCAUCUAAAUAUGGACCCUUAAUGCACCUUAAACUAGGAGAAGUGUCCCACAUCAUAGUUACAUCACCUGAAAUGGCACAAGAGAUUUUGAAGACUCAAGAUCUCAACUUUUGUGAUAGGCCAAACGUUCUCUUUGCAAGAGUCUUGAAUUACAAUGGAACAGACAUUGUUUUUGCCCCCUAUGGAGAGUAUUGGAGGCAUGUACGAAAGAUAUGCACCAUGGAGUUAUUAACAGUAAAGCGUGUUCAAUCUUUUAGGCGCAUAAGAGAAGCAGAGGCUUUAGAGUUGGUCAAAGCAAUAUCUCAAAGUCAAGGCUCCAUUUUCAAUCUCUCUCACAAGAUUUUAUCAAUGACCUAUGGAAUCUCGGCUAGAAUAGCAUUUGGUAAAAAGAAAUUUAUUCACAGCGCAAAU